rnacentral:rRNA from 1 species
AUUGAACGCUGGCGGCAGGCCUUACACAUGCAAGUCGAGCGGAGCGGCGGACGGGUGAGUAAUGCCUAGGAAUCUGCAUGGUAGUGGGGGAUAACGUCAGGAAACGGGCGCUAAUACCGCAUACUAUCAGAUGAGCCUAGGUCGGAUUAGCUAGUUGGUGGGGUAAAGGCUUACCAAGGCAACGAUCCGUAACUGGUCUGAGAGGAUGAUCAGUCACACUGGGACUGAGACACGGUCCAGACUCCUACGGGAGGCAGCAGUGGGGAAUUUUGGACAAUGGGCGAAAGCCUGAUCCAGCCAUGCCGCGUGUGUGAAGAAGGUCUUCGGAUUGUAAAGCACUUUAGGUUGAGAAGCGUUACCAACAGAAUAAGCACCGGCUAACUACGUGCCAGCAGCCGCGGUAAUUC